UACAGAGGUGGCAAGCGUUGUUCGGAAUUACUGGGCGUAAAGGGCUCGUAGGCGGCCAACUAAGUCCGACGUGAAAUCCCAAAGCUUAACUUUGGAACUGCGUCGGAUACUGGAUGGCUUGAAUUCGGGAGAGGGAUGCAGAAUUCCAGGUGUAGCGGUGAAAUGCGUAGAUAUCUGGAGGAAUACCGGUGGCGAAGGCGGCAUCCUGGACCGACAUUGACGCUGAUGAGCGAAAGCUAGGGGAGCAAACGGGG
rnacentral:rRNA from 1 species